GCGCCUGGUCCGCGGGAGGGCCCGGCCCCUGCCACCCGGCCCCCGGCCCCUCCGCGCACCCCUGUCCCGGGGACGGCCAGGCAGACAGCCCUCCACCCCAGGUCCCCGGCCUCCGCACAGUUCAGAGGCCACCUCUGCGGAGGGGAGGGCCUCGAGGCCGUGCGCCCCCGCGGGCACCUGGGGGGAACGGUGCCAGGGCCCCAUCGGGGACCCAACGUCAAAGCCAGAUGAGCUGACCAGACAGGGGGGAAGUUGAACCAGAGGAUGCACCGAAAUGCAAUGUCAAGGCAGAAGACCAGCAAAUUCUUUUUUAACCUCUCAAGACCCUUUCCAAGAGUCCCCAGCCUGUCCCAGCUCUCCUCAUCUGCGGCUCUGGAAGCCCAGUGGAGGCCCACGGAGCCAAUGGGCACUCACAGGUGUCUGGGCGCAUGCCUCCCAGAUUCGAGGAAAAGUACUCUGCCUGAAGGCCUGGCUUCCCGGGAGUUUCCAGAAACUGAUUUUCUAGAAAUUGCCCAAUGCCGCUAGAAUCUAUGCCAUUGUUUAAAACUGACUUCUGCCAAGGGAAAGGACGAGGAGUCAGAGAAUCGCAAAGAAUCCCUGGAUAGGACCUCAGAGAUCAAGUCCAACCUCCCUCCCUCUGAAUCCCGUAGGACAUGAUGCAAAGGCUGGUGGCAGAGAGAGAUGCUGAGAAGCAGAAGGAAUCAGGUCGAGCAAAAAGGAGGGAAGAUACGUGGUGUGGUGGACAGUGGGCAGAUGGUAAUGGUCUGAGCUGUGUGACCUCAGGCACGUUCUUAACCUCUCUGGGCCUCUGUGCUUUUAUCUGUAAGAUAAAAGAGUUCCUGCCUGGCAGGGUGGCUGUGAGAUCAAAGACACAUAUAUAGAGAAGAGAUGCUCCGGUGAGACUUCACCAUUAGAACACUAUUUAAGGAGAGUAUAUUUUCCAGUAAAGCAAAUGAUGAACACCUUUUCCCCGGCGAUGUGGGAGACGUUGGCAAUAUGGAGAGCUACAAUAACCCAAAUGUCCACCAGGAGAAGAGUGGAUGGAUAAUGGAAUUCAUCAACGAAGAUGAGAGAGCAACACAGAUGAGUCUCAAAAAUCGUGAUGUGGAGCAGAAGCCGGGCACAGAAGAAGGCACCCUGUAGGAUCCCACUGGUCAAGAGUUAAAAAACAGAGGAUGCCUGGGUGGCUCAGUAGGUUAAGUGGCCGACUUCGGCUCAGGUCAUGAU